GGGAAAUGGAAUGUGGGGCCAGGCCCAGGCCCUGACACAAAAUGGGUCA
rfam:Otolemur garnettii contig000396, whole genome shotgun sequence.